AGAGUGGAUCCUGAGUACGGCGGAACACGUGAAAUUCCGUCGGAAUCCGGGAGGACCAUCUCCCAAGGCUAAAUACUCCCUAGUGACCGAUAGUGAACCAGUACCGUGAGGGAAAGGUGAAAAGCACCCCGGAAGGGGAGUGAAACAGUUCCUGAAACCGUGUGCCUACAAGUAGUUAGAGCCCGUUAAUGGGUGAUAGCGUGCCUUUUGUAGAAUGAACCGGCGAGUUACGAUUUGUUGCAAGGUUAAGCGGAAAAAGCGGAGCCGUAGCGAAAGCGAGUCUGAAUAGGGCGCAUAAGUAACAGGUCGUAGACCCGAAACCAGGUGAUCUACCCAUGUCCAGGAUGAAGGUAAGGUAAUACUUACUGGAGGUCCGAACCCACGCACGUUGAAAAGUGCGGGGAUGAGGUGUGGGUAGCGGAGAAAUUCCAAUCGAACUUGGAGAUAGCUGGUUCUCUCCGAAAUAGCUUUAGGGCUAGCCUCGAGGUAAAGAGUCAUGGAGGUAGAGCACUGUUUGGACUAGGGGCCCUUCUCGGGUUACCGAAUUCAGAUAAACUCCGAAUGCCAUGUACUUAUACUCGGGAGUCAGACUGCGAGUGAUAAGAUCCGUAGUCGAAAGGGAAACAGCCCAGACCACCAGUUAAGGUCCCCAAAUAUAUGUUAAGUGGAAAAGGAUGUGGGGUUGCUUAGACAACCAGGAUGUUGGCUUAGAAGCAGCCACCAUUGAAAGAGUGCGUAAUAGCUCACUGGUCGAGUGACCCCGCGCCGAAAAUGUACCGGGGCUAAACAUAUUACCGAAACUGUGGAUGAACCUCUUUAGAGGUUCGUGGUAGGAGAGCGUUCUAAGGGCGGUGAAGUCAGACCGGAAGGACUGGUGGAGCGCUUAGAAGUGAGAAUGCCGGUAUGAGUAGCGAAAGAAGGGUGAGAAUCCCUUCCACCGAAUAUCUAAGGUUUCCUGAGGAAGGCUCGUCCGCUCAGGGUUAGUCGGGACCUAAGCCGAGGCCGAUAGGCGUAGGCGAUGGACAACAGGUAGAGAUUCCUGUACCAGUGCUAAUUGUUUAACCGAUGGGGUGACACAGAAGGAUAGGGAAUCGCACGAAUGGAAAUGUGCGUCCAAGCAGUGAGUGUGAGAAGUAGGCAAAUCCGCUUCUCGCGAAGCAUGAGCUGUGAUGGGGAAGGAAAUUAAGUACGGAAGUUCCUGAUUUCACGCUGUCAAGAAAAGCCUCUAGGAAGAGUAGUACUGCCCGUACCGCAAACCGACACAGGUAGAUGAGGAGAGAAUCCUAAGGUGAGCGAGAGAACUCUCGUUAAGGAACUCGGCAAAAUGACCCCGUAACUUCGGGAGAAGGGGUGCUCUAUUAGGGUGCAAGCCCGAGAGAGCCGCAGUGAAUAGGCCCAGGCGACUGUUUAGCAAAAACACAGGUCUCUGCAAAACCGUAAGGUGACGUAUAGGGGCUGACGCCUGCCCGGUGCUGGAAGGUUAAGAGGAGUGCUUAGCUUCGGCGAAGGUACGAAUUGAAGCCCCAGUAAACGGCGGCCGUAACUAUAACGGUCCUAAGGUAGCGAAAUUCCUUGUCGGGUAAGUUCCGACCCGCACGAAAGGCGCAACGAUCUGGGCACUGUCUCAACGAGAGACUCGGUGAAAUUAUAGUACCUGUGAAGAUGCAGGUUACCCGCGACAGGACGGAAAGACCCCGUGGAGCUUUACUGCAACCUGAUAUGGAAUGUUUGUACCGCUUGUACAGGAUAGGUAGGAGCCGAAGAGACGUGUGCGCUAGCAUACGAGGAGGCAAUGGUGGGAUACUACCCUGGCUGUAUGACCAUUCUAACCCGCCACGCUUAGCGCGUGGGGAGACAGUGUCAGGUGGGCAGUUUGACUGGGGCGGUCGCCUCCUAAAGAGUAACGGAGGCGCCCAAAGGUUCCCUCAGAAUGGAUGGAAAUCAUUCGCAGAGUGUAAAGGCACAAGGGAGCUUGACUGCGAGACUGACAAGUCGAGCAGGGACGAAAGUCGGGCUUAGUGAUCCGGUGGUUCCGCAUGGAAGGGCCAUCGCUCAACGGAUAAAAGCUACCCCGGGGAUAACAGGCUUAUCUCCCCCAAGAGUCCACAUCGACGGGGAGGUUUGGCACCUCGAUGUCGGCUCGUCGCAUCCUGGGGCUGUAGUCGGUCCCAAGGGUUGGGCUGUUCGCCCAUUAAAGCGGCACGCGAGCUGGGUUCAGAACGUCGUGAGACAGUUCGGUCCCUAUCCGUCGCGGGCGCAGGAAAUUUGAGAGGAGCUGUCCUUAGUACGAGAGGACCGGGAUGGACACACCGCUGGUGUACCAGUUGUUCCGCCAGGAGCAUCGCUGGGUAGCUAUGUGUGGCAGGGAUAAACGCUGAAAGCAUCUAAGCGUGAAGCCCCCCUCAAGAUGAGAUUUCCCAUUUCUUCGGAAAGUAAGAUCCCUGAAAGAUGAUCAGGUAGAUAGGUUUGGAGUGGAAGUGUAGCGAUACAUGGAGCGGACAAAUACUAAUCGAUCGAGGACUUAACCAAAA
rnacentral:rRNA from 1 species